UACAGAGGGGGCAAGCGUUAUUCGGAAUUAUUGGGCGUAAAGGGCGCGUAGGCGGCCUGGCAAGUGGAAGGUGAAAUCCCUCGGCUUAACCGAGGAACUGCCCUCCAAACUGCUUGGCUUGAGACCGGGAGAGGUGAGUGGAAUUCCCAGUGUAGCGGUGAAAUGCGUAGAUAUUGGGAGGAACACCAGCGGCGAAGGCGGCGCUCUGGGCCGGUACUGACACUGAGGAGCGAAAGCGUGGGUAGCAAACAGG
rnacentral:rRNA from 1 species